rnacentral:tRNA from 1 species
GCCCUGGUAGUCUAGAGGUUAGGAUGCCACCCUGUCACGGUAGCGACCCGGGUUCGAUUCCCGGCCAGGGCG